GCAGGAGGGAUAAUCGCCUGGUUGGACUAAGAGGUUAGUGUUGGAUUUGUAUUUCAAUCAGUAAAAUAGGAAUUUACAUAAUAGUUAGAAUGAGUGGGUAAAUCCUGCCAUUAGAACAACUAGUGAUGUUGCUGUCAGCAAGCAGAACCGUGUUUACUGAACCCAGGCAGUUCAUAUGAGAAAAUGCUGAUUGUCGAUUUGAGGGAGUUAAUAUGUGAAUUUGCUAUGUUUGCAGUGAUAUUCAGGGAAUCAUGCUUACUGCCCAUGAGACAUUUCAUAUAAGGAAAUGCUGGUUACUGAAAUCCAGGCAAUUAAUAUGUGAAGUUUGAUGCGUUUGCAGGCUGGGGAUUAGGGCUGAGGCACCGAGAAGAACACCCUGCCCAAUCGCGUCAGUGUGUUUGAGAAGGCUAUUCGGAGUUAUGCCGACAAUCCAGCCGAGAAUGUGAUCACACCAGUGCUUGGCACUACUUUCAGACUCUUUAGGUGAGGCUUGUGACUUCUAUAAUUUGUACUCAUGGGCGAAAGGCUUCGGCAUCCGAUAUGAGAAGAGCCGGCUGAAUGUCGAGAGGACGAAUGCAUGCGGGAAAUAGUGUUAAUUCAGUUAAUCUCGGGAAGGGAGUGUGGUGCGGAUGGCUUUAGGGAGGGACAGAUCCCCACAAGUCUCGGAACUCUCCACGGUGAAGAUGAAUCCACAUGCCCCUGGAUGGAACAAGAGGUAAGCCUGAUGCUUGUUAGUUCAUUCCACCGUAGGACAUAGGAGGCGAAUUCAGUAUGGCAGGCAGGUGGAAUGAUUUAGCGUAGUAAUGGAUGUGCAAAAAGAAUUUAGGUAUGGCCAGGUAGGUGUUGAAAAACCAUCAUGUGGAAUGGAAAGGAAGUUUGUGUGGGCUGUAGUAUGGUGAAGCACAUGCCAGUUUCUGGGCUGAAAAAAUUGUACAGAUUUAGAUGCAGGCAAGUUCUGGCAUUCCUGUAGGUAAGAGCCACAAAAUUUUAGUUGCAUUGCUAAGGCAUGUUUUGAUUGAUGUAUUUGCUGUCAAAUUUAGUAUGUUCGGCUGUAAUGAAGCAAAAAAAAAGCGGUUGUUGCAGAUUGAGGACUGGAUGAAGCUGUUGCUGCACCUAGUAGAGCCCCGUGUCCACCGCGCGUCGGUGCUUUCGAGAAGGCAGUGCGCGGUUAUGCUGAGAACCCUAGUGCUGCCGUAUCUUUGAGUAUGAUUCUCUUUGAAUAAUCAUAGAUUUGGUCUAACUGAGGAGUUCCCAGACUACGCACCCCGGUGUAAUGCUUAUAGAUGAUGUCUUUGUUAUACGCAGUGAAUUUAAAUAAAAGUAAUCAUAGGUUUGGUCUAACUGAGGAGUUCCCAGACUACGCACCCGGCAAUAUGUAAUGCUUAUAGAUGGUGUCUUUGUUAUACGCAGUGAAUUUAAAUAAAAGUAUACCAUGUGGAUUGUCAACUACUCCCUUCGUUUCUAAAUAAUUGUCUUUCUAGAGAUUUCAACAAAUGACUACCCGGAGCAAAAUGAGUGAAUCUACACUCUAAAACAUGUCUACAUACAUCCGUAUGUUGUAGUCCAUUUGAGAUGGCUAGAAAGACAAUUAUUUGAAAAC
rnacentral:lncRNA from 1 species